rnacentral:rRNA from 1 species
GUAACACAACAUGAUUAUAAUUGAAGAGUUUGAUCAUGGCUCAGAUUGAACGCUGGCGGUAGGCUUAACACAUGCAAGUCGUGCGAGAAAGUAUCUUCGGAUAUGAGUAGAGCGGCGGACGGGUGAGUAACGCGUAGGAAUCUACCUAGUAGAAGGGGAUAGCCCGAGGAAACUCGGAUUAAUACCGUAUACCUCCUUCGGGAGAAAGAAGGCCUCUCAUUGAAGCUUUCGCUACUAGAUGAGCCUGCGUAAGAUUAGCUUGUUGGUGAGGUAAAGGCUCACCAAGGCGACGAUCUUUAGCUGGUCUGAGAGGACGAUCAGCCACAUUGGGACUGAGACACGGCCCAGACUCCUACGGGAGGCAGCAGUGGGGAAUUUUCCG